GUGGAUCAGUGGCGAACGGGUGAGUAACACGUGAGUAACCUGCCCCUGACUCUGGGAUAAGCCUUGGAAACGAGGUCUAAUACCGGAUACGAGACGCUCGGGCAUCCGAAGUGUCUGGAAAGAUUUAUCGGUCAGGGAUGGACUCGCGGCCUAUCAGCUUGUUGGUGGGGUAGUGGCCCACCAAGGCGACGACGGGUAGCCGGCCUGAGAGGGCGACCGGCCACACUGGGACUGAGACACGGCCCAGACUCCUACGGGAGGCAGCAGUGGGGAAUAUUGCACAAUGGGCGCAAGCCUGAUGCAGCGACGCCGCGUGAGGGAUGAAGGCCUUCGGGUUGUAAACCUCUUUCAGCAGGGAAGAAGCGCAAGUGACGGUACCUGCAGAAGAAGCGCCGGCUAACUACGUGCCAGCAGCCGCGGUAAUACGUAGGGCGCAAGCGUUGUCCGGAAUUAUUGGGCGUAAAGAGCUCGUAGGCGGUUUGUCGCGUCUGCUGUGAAAACUCGAGGCUCAACCUCGGGCUUGCAGUGGGUACGGGCAGACUAGAGUGCGGUAGGGGAGACUGGAAUUCCUGGUGUAGCGGUGGAAUGCGCAGAUAUCAGGAGGAACACCGAUGGCGAAGGCAGGUCUCUGGGCCGCAACU
rnacentral:rRNA from 1 species